AGUGAACGCUGGCGGCAGGCCUAACACAUGCAAGUCGAGCGGCAGCGCGGGGGCAACCCUGGCGGCGAGCGGCGGACGGGUGAGGAAUUCGUCGGAAUCUGCCUUUUUGUGGGGGAUAACGUAGGGGAACUUACGCUAAUACCGCAUACGUCCUACGGGAGAAAGUGGGGGACCGCAAGGCCUCACGCAGAAAGAUGAGCCGACGACCGAUUAGCUAGUUGGUGGGGUAAAGGCCCACCAAGGCGACGAUCGGUAGCUGGUCUGAGAGGAUGAUCAGCCACACUGGGACUGAGACACGGCCCAGACUCCUACGGGAGGCAGCAGUGGGGAAUAUUGGACAAUGGGCGCAAGCCUGAUCCAGCCAUGCCGCGUGUGUGAAGAAGGCCUUCGGGUUGUAAAGCACUUUUGUCCGGAAAGAAAUCCCUGGAGCUAAUACCUUCGGGGGAUGACGGUACCGGAAGAAUAAGCACCGGCUAACUUCGUG
rnacentral:rRNA from 1 species